rnacentral:rRNA from 1 species
CCUACGGGUGGCAGCAGUCGAGAAUCAUUCACAAUGGGCGAAACCCUGAUGGUGCGACGCCGCGUGGGGGAAUGAAGGUCUUCGGAUUGUAAACCCCUUUCAUGUGGGAGCAAAUUAAAAAGAUAGUACCACAAGAGGAUGAGACGGCUAACUCUGUGCCAGCAGCCGCGGUAAUACACAGGUGUCAAGCGUUGUUCGGAAUCACUGGGCGUAAAGCGUGCGGUGGCUGUUUCGUAAGGCGUGUGUGAAAGGCGAGGGCUCAAGCCGCGGACGGCACCUGAUACUGCGAGACUAGAGUGAUGGAGGGGGAAGCGGAAUUCUAGGUGUAGCAGUGAAAUGCGUAGAUAUCGGGAGGAACACUAGUGGCGAAGGCGGGUUCCUGGACAUUAACUGACGCUGAGGCACGAAGGCCAGGGGAGCGAAAGGGAUUAGAUACCCUUGUAGUC